UGGGGAAUAUUGGACAAUGGGCGAAAGCCUGAUCCAGCCAUGCCGCGUGUGUGAAGAAGGUCUUCGGAUUGUAAAGCACUUUAAGUUGGGAGGAAGGGCAGUAAGCGAAUACCUUGCUGUUUUGACGUUACCGACAGAAUAAGCACCGGCUAACUCUGUGCCAGCAGCCGCGGUAAUACAGAGGGUGCAAGCGUUAAUCGGAAUUACUGGGCGUAAAGCGCGCGUAGGUGGUUCGUUAAGUUGAAUGUGAAAGCCCCGGGCUCAACCUGGGAACUGCAUCCAAAACUGGCGAGCUAGCGUAGGGCAGAGGGUGGUGGAAGUUCCUGUGUAGCGGUGAAAUGCGUAGAUAUAGGAAGGAACACCAGUGGCGAAGGCGACCACCUGGGCUCAUACUGACACUGAGGUGCGAAAGCGUGGGGAGCAAACAGG
rnacentral:rRNA from 1 species